UGGUUACCACGUCACCACGUGGAUAUGGUGCCACCCUGUUACUCGUCUAUGAGAUGCCUCCGAUGACUGAAAAAUGUCUAAUGCGGCUUGGAAGCCAACGCGCCCAUCGGCAUUGACGUUACUGUCUCGGUAUUGCAUAUCAAACCUGAUUCGUUUUAAGAAUAACAAGUAACUUCAUAUCGUUACUUUAAACUUUGCUUGAGCGGCGUUAAUCUCACAAUGCGUCGCUGCAAGAUGUACGACUUCUCUGUAUGACAUAUGCCAAUGUGAUGAUAUAUUUAUUUAUAUAUAUAUAUAUAUAUAUGUGUGUAUGAGUAAGAAAGCUGGCUUAUCAUGAACUGUCAUUAGGCUGUGUUGCUGCUGUGUUAAAUGUUAUUGUGAAAAUACUCUGAAUAUGAUACUUCCAGACUAAUCAUUUAUGAUAAUCUAACAUGUUGUAUAAAUGAGUGCUUAUUUAGUUUCUUGCAUAUAUUCUUGAUAUAAUGUAAUGUAUUUGACUGAGAGGCAUAUGUGCUAUGUAAAUGGACGAUCUGUAUAUAUUUGCACUUGAUUAACAAAUCUAUUUAAGUCAGUUACUGCUAGAGUAGUCGACAUUUCAUGUCCAUAUACACACCCAGGGUAUGACAGGGUAACUAACCAAUCCACCCUUGUGUUUAGUAAAUGGAGUGGCCAGGUGAGAUAAUGAAUGUAAGUCACCAUACACUAGCAUGGGUGGACUCGCCUUGUUCACAGAACAUGAACACACUGGUUCGUGAAGCACAUGUGCAUGUGUGUAUGCUCACGUUAAGUCAGAACACUCAGACUACACACUCACACACACACACACACACACAGCCAGAGACAGAGAUACAGACACACACACGCACGCACACGCACACCCGCUCACACACGCACACGUACACACACACACACACACACACACACACACACACUCACACACAGACAGAGACAGAGAGACGCAGCACAGCACAUUGGCGGAAGAGGUGACGUUACAUUAAAAUGUGAACACAAACAUGUUAUUAACGGAAAACCUCAUUUAUUCAGAAUGCUCAUUCAACGGAAACCCAGUGUAAUAUAAGUAUAAUAUAGCAUGUAUCACCACACAACACAUGAAAGGUUACACAGCACCAUGAAAGUUACACAGCACAAUGAAAGGUAACAUAGCAUCAUGAAAGGUUACAUAGCAUCAUGAAAGGUUACACAGCACCAUGAAAGGUUACACAGCAUCAUGAAAGGUCACACAGCACCAUGAAAGGUUACAUUACACCAUGAAAUGUUGCAUCACGCCAUGAAAGGUUACAUUACACCAGAAAAGGUUGCAUCACACAAUGAAAGGUUACAUCACACCAUGGAAGGUCACACAGCACAAACUAAAAGUUACACAGCAUCAUGAAAGGUUACAUUACACUCUGAAAGGUUACACAACACCAUGAAAGGUUAC